CUCUCCACUAGCAGCUGUUCUCGGUGCUGCGUCAAUUUUUGCUUCUCUCUGACUGCUUGGCUCCGUACCUGGCUCCGAAACCAAUCUCCCGUCUCCCGCGCCUCCCCACAUUCAUUGCUCCUGCCCCGUCUAGGGCUCAGUUCUUACCUGUGCACUGCCUGACAGUCUUCUCACCACCCUCCGCCAAGCGGUCUAUUUAUAUAAACCCAUAUCGGAAUGGAUCAGUCCCAUGAUUAAAAUGUUAAAAGCUUCCCCUUUAUCCCUUCACAAUAAAGUCCUAGCUCGUUACUGAACCAUCCCUGCCUGUCCAAUCACGUCCUUAUCCUUCCACAUCACAGCCAGAGAGAUUAUUCUUCCAGUUGUAUAUCAGAUUGUUCAUUUCUUUCCAGUCCCAGCACCAAAGUCCAAGCCACCAUCAUCUCUCACCUUGGCUUCUGCAAUAGACUCUCAGCUGUUCCUGAGUUCAUCAUUGCCCACAUCCAAUUCACUGUUGGCACAGUUGACAGAGUUAUCUUUUUAAAAUUUAAAUCGGAUCAUGUCAUUCUCCUGUUAAAACCUUCAGUGUCUCCUCAAGGCUGUCCUUAAGACAAUCCUUAAAUGGUUUACAAAUCUGACUCCCUUUCAAUCUCAUUAGCAGCAUUGUCACCUCCUUCACAAAUUCUAAACUAGACUCUCUAAAAUGCUUUUCGUUAUCUGGAAUACUAUUGCCUCUGCCUGGGGCCUUUGUCCAUAUUGUUUCUCUCACAGAAACCCACUUCCCUCCACUCCCAACCUUUCUGCUUCUCAUCAGGCUAAUCAUUAUUCUCAGGAAUCCUUCUGGAUGCAACUUCAUUUCCCCUGGGGAGACUCUCCUGACCCUCCAGUCUGGGUUAGUCGCAUCCUGUGUGCUCUCAGACCCUGAGCUUUUCUCUGUCACAGCCUGAUCAAGCUGAAUCAUCUGUCCCUCUGUGCAAGGCUGGCACACUGCCCAAGGUGGAUCUUGACUGCCUUUCGUUUCAUUCACCAUUUACUGAAGUUGUGUGUGCGUGUGUAUACCAGACCCCACGCUAAGGACUGGGGAAAAGGAUGAUCAUACCUGGCUUGUUCCUGAUAGAGCCCAGAGACCACCUGGGAAGACAAGUAAUCAGGUCCAGCUUCGGUGUGAGGCCCUCAAUCCAGAACAUCAUGGCUCUGACUCACCAGCCUUCAGCUGCUGCACUCUGCUCUCCUCAGUGGCUGCCUUGCACCUGGAACUCAAUUUUUUUUUAUUUUUAUUUUUUUGAGAUGGAGUCUUGCUCUGUAACCCAGGCUGGAGUGCAAUGGCGCAAUCUCGGCUCACUGCAACUUCCACCUCCCGGGUUCAAGUGCUUCUCCUGCCUCAGCCUCCUGAGCUGGGAUUACAGUUGUCCACCACCAUGCCCAGCUAAUUUUUGUGUGUUUUUUUUUUAGUAGAGACAGGGUUUCACCAUGUUGGCCAGACUGGUCUUGAACUCCUGACCUCAGGUGAUCCGCCUGCCUUGGCCUCCCAAAGUGCUGGGAUUACAGGCAUAAGCCACCACACCCAGCCAAUUUUUUAAUUUUUUAAAUUUUUUGUAGAGACAGGGUCUUGCUAUGUUGCCCAGGCUGAUCCUCAAACUCCUGGCAUCAAGAGACACUCCUGACUCCACCUCCUAAAUGCUGGGAUUAGAGAUGUGAGCCAUUGUUCCUGGCCCCUAUUGAAUUUUUUAGUCCACUGUUGAGACCUAUUGAUCAGAAAAAAGGUUGCUUUCAAAAGGUUAUUACUAAAAAAAAAAAAAAAGAAGAAGAAGAAGAAAGAAAAAAGAUUACAAAGAUUACUGCUCAUACUCAUUCACAAUGCAUUUAGUCACCCAAGAGCUCUAAUGGAGAUGUACAAGGAGAUGAAUGUUGUUUUCAUGCCUGCUAAUACACAUCCUUUCUGCAGCCCAUGGAUCAAGGAGUAAUUUAAACCUGCAAGUCUUAUUAUUUAAAAUUACAUUUCAUAAGGCUAUAGCUGCCAUAGAUAGUGAUUCUGCUGAUGGAUUUGGGCAAAGUACAUUGAAAACCUUCUGGAAAGGAUUCACCAUUCUAGAUGCCAUUAAGAAUAUUUGUGGUUCCAGGGAGGAAGCCAAAAACCAACAUUUACAGGAGUUUGGAAGAAAGUGACUCUAUAACUCAUGGAUGACUUUCAGAGGGGCUCAAGACUUCACUAGAGGAAGUAACUGCAGGUAUGAUAGAAGUAGCAAGGGAACUAGAAUUAGAAAUGGAACCUGAAGAUGUGACUGAAUUGCUGCAAUCUCAUGAUAAAAUUUAAAUGGAUGCAGAGUUGUUUCUUAUGGAUGAGCAAAUAAGUGAUUUCUUCUUCUUUUCUUUUUUUUUUUUUGAGGUGGAGUCUCGCUCUGUCACCCAGGCUUGAGUGCAGUGAUGUGAUCUCUGCUCACUGCAACCUUAACCUCCCAAGCUCAAGCGAUUCUCCUGCCUCAGCCUCCCAAGUAGCUGGGAUUACAGGUGUCCACCACCAUGACUGGCUAAUUUUUGUAUUUUUAGUGGAGACAGGGUUUCACCAUGCUGACCAGGCUGGUCUCGGACUCCUGACCUCAAGUGAUCCUCCUGGCUUGACCUCCCAAAGUGCUGGGAUUACAGGUGUGAGCCACCAUGCCCAGCCUCUUUUUUUUUUUUUUUUUAAAUAGAGACAGAGUCUCACUGUGUUGCCCAGGCUGGCAAUCAUGGCUCACUGCAACCUUGACCUCCUAGACUCAAGCCAUCCUCCUGGUUCAACCUUCCAAGUAACUAGUACUACAUGUGUGCACCACCCUGCUCAGCUAAUUAAAAAUAAUUUUUGUGAGGAGAUGGGGGUCUCACUAUGUUGCCAAGGCUGGUUUAGAAUGCCCAAGCUCACGUGAUUCUCUCACUCUGGACUCCCAAAGUUCUGGGAUUACAGGUGUGUGCCAUCGUGCCUAGCCAGAAAGUGGUUUCUUGAGAUGGAAUCUACUCCUGAUGAAGAUACUGUGAAAUGUAGAAUGGUAGAAAUGACAACAAAGGAUUUAGAAUAUGACAUAAACUUAGUUGAUAAAGCAGCAGCAGGGUUUGAGAGGACUGAGUCCAAUUUUGGAAGAUAUUCUACUAUGAGUAAAAUGCUAUCAAAUAGUACUGCAUACUACAGAUAAAUCUUUCAUGAAAGGAAGUGUCAAUUCAUGCGGCAAAUGCUACAUUGUCUUAUUUUAAGAAAUUGUCACAGCUGGCAUGGUGGCACACACCUGUAAUCCCAGCUACUUGGGAGGCUGAGGCAGGAGAAUCGCUUGAACCCAGGAGGCGGAGGUUGCAGUGAGACGAGAUCGUGUCAUUGUACUCCAGCCUGGGCAACAAGAGGGAGACUCGGUCUCAGAAAAAAAAAAAAAAAAAAAAAAAAGAAAAGAAAUUGUCACAGCCACCCCACCCUUUAGCAAAUACCACCACCCUGAUCAGUCAGCAGCCAUCAACAUGGAGCCUCCACCAGCAUAAAGAUUAUGACUUGCUGAAGGCUCAGAUGAUUGUUAGCAUUCUUUUUUUAGGAAUAAAGUAUUUUGGGGCCAGAUGCAGUGGCUCACACCUGUAAGCACUUUGAGAGGCUGAGGUGGGCAGAUCGCUUGAGCUCAGGACUUUGAGACCAGCCUGGGCAACAUGGCAAAACCCCAUCUCAGGCUGGGAGCGGUGGCUCACGCCUGUAAUCCCAGCACUUUGGGAGGCUGAGGCGGGUGGAUCACUUGAGGUCAGGAAUUUAAGACCAGCCUGGCCAACAUGGCAAAACACUGUCUCUACUAAAAAUGCAAACAUUAGCCAGAUGUGGUGGCACGUGCCUGUAAUCCCAGCUACUCAGGAGGCUGAGGCAGGAGAAUCACUUGAACCUGGGAGGUGGAGGUUGCAGUGAGCUGAGAUUAUGCCACUGCACUUCAGCCUGGGCAACAGAGUGAGACUCCAUCUCAAAAAAGAAAAAACUCUACAAAAAAUACAAAAAUUAGCCUGGUGUGGUGGUGCACACCUGUGAUCCCAGCUACUUGGGAGGCUGAGUUGGGAGGAUCACUUGAAUCCAGAAGGUGGAGGCUGCAGUGAGCCAAGAUCACACCACCGCACCCCAGUCUGGGUGACAGAGCUAGACCCUGUCUCAACAACAACAACAACAACAACAAAAAGUAUUUUAAAAUUAAGAUAAGUACAUUUUUUUUCUUUUCUUUUCGAGAUGGAGUUUUGCUUUUGUUGCCCAGGCUGGAGUGCAGUGGCGUGAUCUUGGCUCACUGCAACCACUGCCUCCCGGGUUCAAACGAUUCCCCUGCCUCAGCCUCCCAAGUAGUGGAGAUUACAGGCGCCUGCCCCGCACCUGGCUCAUUUUUAUAUUUUUAGUAUAGACGAGGUUUCACCAUGUUGUCCAGGCUGGUCUCGAACUCCUGACCUCAAGUGAUCCACCUGCCUCACCCUCCCAAAGUGCUGGGAUUACAGGUGUGAGCCACUGUGCCUGGCCAAUAAGUACAUUUUUAAAGACAGAAUGCUAUUGUGCACUUAAUAAACUAUAGUAGAAACAUAAGUUUUCUAUGUACUGGGAAACCAAACCAAAAAAUUUGUGUGACUCACUUUAUUGCUAUAUUCACUUUAUUGUGAUGGUCUGGAACUGAACCCACAAUAUCUUUGAGGUAUGCCUCUGUACCAUAUUUUAAAGGUAGAGCUUAGUAAGAUUUUGCUGACAGGUCAAAUUCAGGUGUGAAAGAGUAAAGUCAAAUGUUAUACCAAGGUUUAACCAUAAGGAAAUGAAAGACUGGAAUUGUUUACUUUGAAGAAUGAGACUGAGGAAGAAGCAGGAUUCAAGGGAAAGAUCUGAAGCUCAGUUUGGACAUGCUAAGCUUUAUAUGCAUUUUAAAUAUUCAGGUGGAGCUGCUAAGUAGGCAGUUUGACACAUGAGUUGUAGUUCAGGGGAGAGAUCCAGGCUAGAGAUAAAAAUGUGGGAUCUAUCAGUACGUAGAUGAUAUUUGAAGUCACAGGACUGAAUGAGGCUGCCCAGGGAGCAAGUACAUACAAGAGAAAAGUGCAAGGAAUGAGCUUCAGGAACUCCAACAUUUAGAGGUCAGUAUAUGGGCAACCAGAAAGGGAGACUGAGGGGGAAUUAUUCAAAUUAGAUUAAGUGAAAAAAGCCAGGCACAGAAAGACAAAUAUUGCAUGUUCUCACUCAUAUGUGAGAGCUGUAAAAUGUUGAUCUCAUAGAGGUGGAGAGUGGAAUGAUAGUUACCAGAGGCUGGGUGGGGGUAGGAGGAUGCCGAGAGAUUUGUUAACGGGUACAAACAUAUGGUUAGAUAGAAGGAAUAAGUUCUAGAGUUUGGCAGCACAGUAGGGUGAAUAUAGUUAACACCAAUGUGCUGUAUAUUUCCAAAUAGCUAGAAGAGAAGAUUUGAAACGUUCUGGACAAAAAUAAAUGAUAAAUAUUUGAGGUGAUGCAUAUCCUAAAUACCCUGAUUUGAUCAUUACACAUUGUAUGCAUGUAUCAAAGUAUGACAUGUACCACACAAAUAUGUACAAUUAUCAUGUAUUAAUAAAAAAGUAAAAAAAGUAAUUAGCAUGAACCUAAAAAAAAGAAUAGAAAGAAAACAAGGAGAGGGUAGAUUCUAGCAGUCAAAUGAAGGAGGCACUUCUAGGUAAAGGGAGUAAUCAAUUCAAUCAUGUGCUGCUGAGAAUUGACCCUGGGACUUAACAACAUGGAGGCCAUUUGUGGUCUUGACAAAAGCAAUUCCAAUGGGAUAUUGGGUCACAGCCAGAUUGGGAAAGUCUAAGUGAGACUUAGAGGAAAGGAAGUGGACACAGUGAGAUUAGAUAAGACUUUUGAGGACUUUUCAGUAAACGGGAGCAGGAAAUAGGAUUGAAAUUGGAAGGGUAUGUGGAGUCACGGGAGGGUGAUUUUUAAAAUGGGAGAAAUAAUAGCACUUGUGUGUGUGUGUUUAUG
rnacentral:lncRNA from 1 species